ensembl:misc_RNA 7SK 7SK RNA
GAGUAUCAUCCCAGUCCGGCUGCGACACCUGUCACCCCAUUGAUCGCCAGGGUUGAUUCGGCUGAUCUGGCUGGCUAGGCGGGUGUCCCCUUCCUCCCUCACCGCUCCAUGUGCGUCCCUCCCGAAGCUGCGCGCUCGGUCGAAGAGGACGACCAUCCCCGCUAGAGGAGGACCCGUCUUCGGUCAAGGGUAUACGAGUAGCUGCGCUCCCCUGCUAGAACCUCCAAACAAGCACUCCUUUAUUUUUCAUUUAUUUUUGGGUUGAGUUUUUCCAAAAAAACUUACUUUACAAAAUAAUAUCCUAAAGCAAAAGUUUGCAUGUUUG